ACGACGUCGUUGCUUUAGUGUUCUUCUUCCACAGUCGAGAGUCGAAAACCCUAAAUCUCCGUACUCAAACACCAUUUUCAGACGAAAAAUCAGAAAUCAGAUACUCAGGUGAAUCAGAAGCAUGAUUCGAGUUACGAGACCAAAACCGAUUAUCGAAUCACUGAGUUACCACCUUCUCCAGAGAUGCUCCGCAAGCGGAACUCCUAAAGGAAAGGCAAAGCUAAAGACAGGUCAGCCAUUGAAGCGUAACAAAGUCUCCACCAAGAAAGGUGGUGGUGGCGGCGGCGGCGGAGCAGUUGGAGAUGGAGAGGAAGCAGUUAAAGGAAAAGGAAGAAUUUCCGAUGAAAAGCAGAAACUCUACGAGCAAUGCUUAAACGCUCCUUGUCCUGUUCGUUACUUGACACCUAAUGAGAUCGAGCGAGAGGCGCAACGUGAGAAGCUAGGGUUGAUUAGUAAAGAGAAGCAACGAGAUAUGGAGAUCCAGAAGAAAGGAGGAGCUGCUUCAAUGGGAAUCACCGAUGAGCCGAUGCGAAUUGGUACGCCGGGUUUGGAUUACAUUUCGUUAGGGAUUUUUGAAGCUGAGGAGUUACCGAAGUACAAGCUGACGGAAGAAGAUGGAGAGAGGCUUGCGAAGGAGUAUAGUAAAGUGUUGAUGAGAGAGCAUAGAGAGCGUCGUGCAGCUGAAACUGCGCUUUUGAAUUUGAAGAAAGCUGCGAUUGAGGCAUUGCCGGAGAAUCUGAAGAAAGCGGCAUUAGAGCCUGAUUUGACUCCGUUUCCGGCGAAUCGAGGUAUGGCUACUCUUACACCGCCUAUUGAAGGGUAUCUUGAGAAGGUUAUGGAUGCAGCUAAGAAGAGUUCAAGUAAAGAGAAGUUGAGAUGAUUUCGUUUAAAGAAAGUGUAUGAAAUAAAGAGAAGUUGAGAUGAUUCACUAAAGUUGAAGCUUUAGUCAGAAUGAAGCAGCAACGAGACAGAGAGAAAUGCCAUAGACAGAAACUUCAAGAAAUUGUCUCUAGGGUUUCCAAGCUUGACUUAAGAGAAUUCAUUCAUGUAGGCUAUUGCCUCUUUUUUUUUGGAAAAGCAAUUUUCUUUUUUGGACAAGUGAUCAAGUCUGUGUCACAAUGGACCUUGGUUUAGUAAUAAUAUGCCUUUUCAUUUA